rnacentral:misc_RNA from 1 species
UUUCCGUAGGUGAACCUGCGGAAGGAUCAUUAUCGUACAAAAUGGGUGAGGGGCAUGCAAGGGCUGUCGCUGGCCCAAAAAGUCGUGCACGCCCGAGUGUGUCCUCUCGCAUAAUAAUCCAUCUCACCCUUGUGCAUCACCGCGUGGGCACCCUUUGGGAUCAUCUCGGAGGGGGGCUCGCGUUUUCACACAAACCCCCCUUUUAAAAGUGUAGAAUGGCCACAUUUAUGCAAUCAAUACAACUUUCAACAACGGAUCUCUUGGCUCUC